rnacentral:rRNA from 1 species
CCUACGGGAGGCAGCAGUGGGGAAUAUUGCACAAUGGGGGAAACCCUGAUGCAGCGACGCCGCGUGAGUGAAGAAGUAUUUCGGUAUGUAAAGCUCUAUCAGCAGAGAAGAAGAAAGACGGUACCUGACUAAGAAGCCCCGGCUAACUACGUGCCAGCAGCCGCGGUAAUACGGAGGGGGCAAGCGUUAUCCGGAUGUACUGGGGGUAACGGGAGCGUAGACGGCUGUGCAAGUCUGAAGUGAAAGCCCAGGGCUCAACCCGGGGACUGCUUUGGAAACUGUGGAGCUAGAGUGCUGGAGAGGUAAGUGGAAUUCCUAGUGUAGCGGUGAAAUGCGUAGAUAUUAGGAGGAACACCAGUGGCGAAGGCGGCUUACUGGACAGUAACUGACGUUGAGGCUCGAAAGCGUGGGGAGCAAACAGGAUUAGAUACCCUUGUAGUC